GACCUACUUUCCGAACUGUCACCGGACGGUGGCGUGCCUGGGACAACCAGGCUAGGAGGUAGGUCGCUU
rnacentral:sRNA from 1 species